CUCGCAUCUCCCUUUGCCCGUGCAGUCGGUUUCCCGCACGUCACAGAACUUGCACAGCCUUUUCACCUUCAUGAUACUGGAUUCUAGGAAAAGAAAAUGAAAGGGAAGACGCAUAAUGCCACUCAUCAACCAUUUCAGUGGCAUUUUACCCAAGAUGCAUCCCGAGUAUCUAAGUGCUCUGAGGGGGGUUCGUGAAGACCCUGAAGAUGUCGGUCAUACGAUUCACCAAAGCAAGAUUAAAGGGAACAGACUGUUUAAGCAAAGAGAAGGGUGGUUAAGCUGCCCUGCCCCCAAUAAAAUGUUUCAAUAUGAGUCCCUAAUGUGGCCGAGGAUACAGUUACACACAAAUCCAACCAAGGUCUGGUCUGUUGCAAGAAGGGAAAUGCAUCAUAUCAAAGAGUUUUUUAAAAGGAAACAUACUGCAUGUACUUCAUGCAUUAAUCAAAGACAUCUGAUUUAUAAUACAGAGGGUUUGCAGGCCUGCAUCGUAUCAGCAUUCAGAUCCAGUCAGGCAGUACUGAUGAAUGCUAGAACGUUACCAAUUGCAUGUUCAACUACUGAUUAAAAACGGUACAAUGGUAGUUAACUCAAUGUUUCAGUCUUCUCGGAAAUAAAGUGUUAAUAUGAAUUUA